rnacentral:rRNA from 1 species
UACGGGGGGGGCAAGCGUUGUUCGGAAUUACUGGGCGUAAAGGGCUCGUAGGCGGCCAACUAAGUCGGACGUGAAAUCCCCAGGCUCAACCUGGGAACUGCGUCCGAUACUGGAUGGCUUGAAUCCGGGAGAGGGAUGCAGAAUUCCAGGUGUAGCGGUGAAAUGCGUAGAUAUCUGGAGGAAUACCGGUGGCGAAGGCGGCAUCCUGGACCAACACUGACGCUGAGGCGCGAAAGCUAGGGGAGCAAACGGG